rnacentral:rRNA from 1 species
GAGUUUGAUCCUGGCUCAGGACGAACGCUGGCGGCGUGCCUAACACAUGCAAGUCGAACGAGAAUCUUUGAACAGAACUUUUCGGAGUGACGUUCAAAGAGGAAAGUGGCGGACGGGCGAGUAACGCGUGAGUAACCUGCCCAUAAGAGGGGGAUAAUCCAUGGAAACGUGGACUAAUACCGCAUAUUGUAGUUAAGUUGCAUGACUUGAUUAUGAAAGAUUUAUCGCUUAUGGAUGGACUCGCGUCGGAUUAGAUAGUUGGUGAGGUAACGGCUCACCAAGUCAACGAUCUGUAGCCGAACUGAGAGGUUGAUCGGCCGCAUUGGGACUGAGACACGGCCCAGACCCCUACGGGAGGCAGCAGUGGGGAAUAUUGCGCAAUGGGGGCAACCCUGACGCAGCAACGCCGCGUGCAGGAAGAAGGUCUUCGGAUUGUAAACUGUUGUCGCAAGGGAAGAAGACAGUGACGGUACCUUGUGAGAAAGUCACGGCUAACUACGUGCCAGCCGCCGCGGUAAUAC